CGGAGACCAAACAAGAGCAGUGCCGCUUCAGUCCUUGUAACACAUGUUACCUGCUUUUCAGGGAGUCCGGUCUCAACACUCUAUUUGUUACACCCGUCCUGGCCACUUGGGACCGGUAACAAACUGUGGUGGCUCGUCCGGGAUCUCUCCUCUUCACAUACAUCAGAGGGGCAGAUCCAGUGAUACCAGAACCGACAUCGAGAAGACGAACGCGAGACGACGACGUGACUGUAGACGAGGAGUCAACCUGUGGGUGUCCAGAGCGGGAGGAGAAGGAUCUUCACCUUGCCAGGGAGCCGCACAACUGAACCGGGGUCCACGGGGCGUGCGUCAUUGGAGAAGCUACGCCAUAUCCAUACCGACACACACAAACAUACACCGUAGUGACAUUCUAUACCACCGAAGCAAAGCACCAUGGGAACGACACGGAAAGAGCUGGUGUGGAACAUCAAACGAGGUUUGUUCAAACUCUCCAGCAAUGACCUACACACUGUUGCUAGUGGCCUGUCAACAGAAGUUCAUGAAGUCAGCCAAUUGAAAGGAGAUGAAGAAGGCUGCAUAGACUAUGUCAUCACCUACAUGGGGUCUCGGGAGUUGUUAGAGCUUGAGGAUGAAGCAGAACAAUGCAGAGAUCUCCUAUGAACCCAAGACAAUACAAGAAGUAUUCCUCCACACUAUCUACCAGGGCCUGGGACCAAAGCACACGGAGCGUCGACAGAGAUUGAGACCCCUCAUCUCCAACAGCCGUGUCACAGAUGAGGAAAUCCUCGGCCAGACCCAGGCAGAGAAAAAUUACAAUUACUCCCACAUUCAAACCAGAGGAAUAAUAGAGAGAGUAUUUGGUGUGUGGAAGCGGAGAUUUCCAUGUAUAAAAGAGGGACUCCGCACAAAAGUGGACACUACCCUGGCCGUCAUCAUUGCAGUAGCUGUGCUGUAUAACUUUGGGAAGAGAGUAGGAGACGAGCUACCAGAGGUGGAUGAGGACCCACUUCAGAACGACCUGGAAGAUGCUCAAGUGCAGAAUGCUGCAAACCCAAAUGGCAAUGCUGUCAGGAGAACACUGAUUGAAAAUCACUUUGCAGCAUAAUUCAGGUCAGUAUUGACAUAAUUGUAUGUGUUGAUGGAUACUAAGGGCACUUCUACAUUAGAUUACCUUAACCCAUACUUACUAAUUUAUAUGCUUCUUACUUUCUCCUCCAGAAGAACUCACCAGAAAAUCAAGACAAGGAGAAUGGCAAUUGAAUUGAAAGAAACAUUUUAUCAUACAAAUAUAACACAAUACAGGGGGGAAGGCAAUUGCUUAUUCAAAAAUAA
ensembl:lncRNA